CCUACGGGAGGCAGCAGUGAGGAAUAUUCGUCAAUGGACGAGAGUCUGAACCAGCCAAGUAGCGUGAAGGAUGACUGCCCUAUGGGUUGUAAACUUCUUUUAUAUGGGAAUAAAAUGUUACACGUGUGGGUUUUUGUAUGUACCAUAUGAAUAAGGAUCGGCUAACUCCGUGCCAGCAGCAGCGGUAAUACGGAGGAUCCGAGCGUUAUCCGGAUUUAUUGGGUUUAAAGGGAGCGUAGGUGGAUUGUUAAGUCAGUUGUGAAAGUUUGCGGCUCAACCGUAAAAUUGCAUUUGAUACUGGCAGUCUUGAGUACAGUAGAGGUGGGCGGAAUUCGUGGUGUAGCGGUGAAAUGCUUAGAUAUCACGAAGAACCCCGAUUGCGAAGGCAGCUGACUGGACUGCAACUGACACUGAGGCUCGAAAGUGUGGGGAUCAAACAGGAUUAGAUACCCUAGUAGUC
rnacentral:rRNA from 1 species